AGGAGGAGGAGGAGAAGAAGGAGGAGAAGGAGAAGGAGGAGGAGAAGGAGAAGAAGAAGAAGAAGGGAGGAUUCCUGAGUUUCAGAGCUGUGCAGGACUUCAUCAGCAACCUCUUCCAGCUGCUAAAAUUCCCAUAGAUGAAAGACCCCAGGCAACUCAUUGUGAAGAUGCCCACCCCACCACUGGGUGAUUCCUUAUGGAGAACUAUAGAGCAUUCCCAGCCUUAGCCCAGAUCGUCACUUUCUCUUCUGUGCAUUUGAGAAGCAAGCAGGCGUCUCUCCAGCAUCUGCAGCUCUAGGUUCCACCCCAUAAUUUUACAGAAGAGACAGACAUGCAAUUAAGAUGACCUGCCUGGGGCCCACAACAUUAGAUCAUUUCCUCAUAUAGCAUGAAUUUGACAAAGUUCACAGAAAAUGGAACGUACUCACAGGGUGCCAUCAAAACAAAAAGGCUGGCUCAGAAUCAGUAUGCAAAUAGUGUAAAAUUGUUUUAAUGCCUGGACUUUGAAACAAGUAACAAGUGUUCGAAAGUAUAUAAUCUAAGAGCGAAUUUGCCCUCCUUGGACUAACCACAUACAAAUAUGAAUCUGGCUGCAA